rnacentral:rRNA from 1 species
GAUGAACGCUAGCGGCAGGCUUAAUACAUGCAAGUCGAGGGGCAGCGCAGUGUAGCAAUACAUGGGCGGCGACCGGCAAACGGGUGCGGAACACGUACGCAACCUACCCAAAACUGAUGAAUAGCCCUCCGAAAGGAGGAUUAAUACAUCGUAACAUAAUGAAGUGGCAUCACUUUAUUAUUAUAGCUCCGGCGGUUUUGGAUGGGCGUGCGCCUGAUUAGAUAGUUGGCGGGGUAACGGCCCACCAAGUCUGCGAUCAGUAACUGGUGUGAGAGCACGACCAGUCACACGGGCACUGAGACACGGGCCCGACUCCUACGGGAGGCAGCAGUAAGGAAUAUUGGUCAAUGGACGCAAGUCUGAACCAGCCACGCCGCGUGAAGGAUGAAGGUCCUCUGGAUUGUAAACUUCUUUUAUAUGGGACGAAACCUCUUUUUCUAAAGAGACUGACGGUACCAUAAGAAUAAGCACCGGCUAACUCCGUGCCAGCAGCCGCGGUAAUACGGAGGGUGCAAGCGUUAUCCGGAUUCACUGGGUUUAAAGGGU